UACGGAGGAUCCGAGCGUUAUCCGGAUUUAUUGGGUUUAAAGGGUGCGCAGGCGGGAGAUUAAGUCGGCGGUGAAAUUUUGCAGCUCAACUGUAAAAGUGCCUUCGAAACUGGUUUCCUUGAGUGUAGCUGAAGUAGGCGGAAUUUGUGGUGUAGCGGUGAAAUGCAUAGAUAUCACGAGGAACUCCGAUUGCGCAGGCAGCUUACUAAACUACUACUGACGCUCAUGCACGAAGGCGUAGGGAUCAAACAGGAUUAGAUACCCU
rnacentral:rRNA from 1 species